AUUGAACGCUGGCGGCAUGCUUUACACAUGCAAGUCGAACGGUAACAGGCCUUCGGGUGCUGACGAGUGGCGAACGGGUGAGUAAUGCAUCGGAACGUACCCAGAGGUGGGGGAUAACGCAGCGAAAGCUGUGCUAAUACCGCAUGUGAUCUGAGGAUGAAAGCGGGGGACCGAGCAGCAAUGUUUGGCCUCGCGCCUUUGGAGCGGCCGAUGUCGGAUUAGCUAGUUGGUGGGGUAAAGGCCUACCAAGGCGACGAUCCGUAGCUGGUCUGAGAGGACGACCAGCCACACUGGGACUGAGACACGGCCCAGACUCCUACGGGAGGCAGCAGUGGGGAAUUUUGGACAAUGGGCGCAAGCCUGAUCCAGCAAUGCCGCGUGCGGGAAGAAGGCCUUCGGGUUGUAAACCGCAUUUGGCAGGAACGAAACGGUGUCCGCUAAUACCGGGCGCUAAUGACGGUACCUGCAGAAUAAGCACCGGCUAACUACGUG
rnacentral:rRNA from 1 species